GAAAUGCGAUACGUAAUGUGAAUUGCAGAAUCCAGUGAAUCAUCGAAUCUUUGAACGCACAUUGCGCCCGCCAGUAUUCUGGCGGGCAUGCCUGUCCGAGCGUCAUUUCAACCAUCAAGCCUAGUGCUUGUGUUGGGGCCCCGCGGCUGCCGCGGGCCCUGAAAACCAGUGGCGGGCUCGAAGUCGAACCGAGUGCAGUAAAUUUCUUCGCUUGGGAAGGUGACGAGUUCCGGCCGUAAAAAGCCCAACUUUAUCAAGGUUGACCUCGGAUCAGGUAGGACUACCCGCUGAACUUAA
rnacentral:misc_RNA from 1 species